CCUACGGGUAGCAGCAGUGGGGAAUAUUGCACACUGGGGGCAACCCUGAUGCAGCGACGCCGCGUGAGUGCAGAAGUAUCUCGGUACGUAAAGCUCUAUCAGUAGGGAAGAAAAUGACGGUACCUGUCUACGAAGCCCCGGCUAACUACGUGCCAGCAGCCGCGGUAAUACGUAGGGGGCAAGCGUUAUCCGGAUUUACUGGGUGUAAAGGGAGCGUAGACGGCAGCACAAGUCUGGAGUGAAAUCCCGGGGCUUAACCCCGGAACUGCUUUGGAAACUGUGCGGCUGGAGUGCAGGAGGGGUAAGCGGAAUUCCUGGGGUAGCGGUGAAAUGCGUAGAUAUUAGGAGGAACACCGGUGGCGAAGGCGGCUGACUGGACUGUAACGGACGUUGAGGCUCGAAAGCGUGGGGAGCAAACAGGAUUAGAUACCCCGGUAGUC
rnacentral:rRNA from 1 species